AAGUCGUAACAAGGUUUCCGUAGGUGAACCUGCGGAAGGAUCAUUAAUGAAAUGCCGAAAGGCGCUUUCAAAAUUUCCACCCCUCUGUGAACCAGCGCGUGGGCCGAGUACGGGUUCACGCCCCGAAGGCUCGCGCUUUUCUAUACACAUACCCCAGAGAAAGUCUCAGAAUGUACACUGCGUUAACUCGCAUAAAUACAACUUUCAGCAACGGAUCUCUUGGCUCUC
rnacentral:misc_RNA from 1 species